UACGGAGGGUGCGAGCGUUGUCCGGAAUCACUGGGCGUAAAGGGCGCGUAGGCGGCUGGGGAAGUCGGCGGUGAAAGCCCGGAGCUCAACUCCGGGUCGGCCGUCGAGACUCCUCGGCUCGAGCUCACUAGAGGCAGAUGGAAUUCCGGGUGUAGCGGUGGAAUUCGUAGAGAUCCGGAAGAACACCGGUGGCGAAGGCGGUCUGCUGGGGUGAGGCUGACGCUGAGGCGCGACAGCGUGGGGAGCAAACAGG
rnacentral:rRNA from 1 species